rnacentral:rRNA from 1 species
CCUACGGGAGGCAGCAGUGGGGAAUAUUGCGCAAUGGGCGAAAGCCUGACGCAGCAACGCCGCGUGAGGGAUGACGGCCUUCGGGUUGUAAACCUCUUUCAGCAGGGACGAAGCGAAAGUGACUGUACCUGCAGAAGAAGCGCCGGCUAACUACGUGCCAGCAGCCGCGGUAAUACGUAGGGCGCAAGCGUUGUCCGGAUUUAUUGGGCGUAAAGAGUUCGUAGGCGGUCUGUCGCGUCGGAAGUGAAAACCCGGAGCUCAACUCCGGGCCUGCUUUCGAUACGGGCAGACUUGAGUGUUGCAGGGGAGACUGGAAUUCCUGGUGUAGCGGUGGAAUGCGCAGAUAUCAGGAGGAACACCGGUGGCGAAGGCGGGUCUCUGGGCAACAACUGACGCUGAGGAACGAAAGCGUGGGGAGCGAACAGGAUUAGAUACCCUGGUAGUCCACGCUGUAAACGGUGGGCACUAGGUGUGGGGACCAUUCCACGGUCUCUGCGCCGCAGCUAACGCAUUAAGUGCCCCGCCUGGGGAGUACGGCCGCAAGGCUAAAACUCAAAGGAAUUGACGG